AGGGUGAGCGUGGUGUCAUGGGCCCCCCUGGUCCUGAAGGAACAGAAACAUACUAUGGAGAGAAAGGGACCACCAUCAUAAAGGGAGACAAAGGUGAUCCUGGUGAAAAAGGUGAAGAUGGCUUUCCAGGGUCACCAGGCCAGAGCAUCAAAGGGGGAAAAGGUGAACCUGGGAAACCUGGUCCACGGGUAUGUAUGGUUUUUUUUUCUUAUCUAGCCAUUUGGAUAUUUUUACACCA
rnacentral:lncRNA from 1 species